AAUUAUCUUCAGGGCAGGGUGUAAUUCCCUACCGGCGGUAUAGCCCGCGAGCUCGAAAGAGUAUGAUUCGGUGAAACUCCGAAGCCGACAGUAAAGUCUGGAUGAAAGAAGGUAGUA
rfam:Clostridium disporicum strain 2789STDY5834856 genome assembly, contig: SCcontig000010